UAGAUCUGUUUAGAUUUCUCA
rnacentral:piRNA from 1 species